rnacentral:lncRNA from 10 species
CCAGCAUCUGAGGGAUGUGAGGACAAAAGGAGAGAAGAAGAGUUAGUCAGAACCAAUCAAGGAGGCGGAUCCAUAUUUGCUCGUCCAUCUAUCUGCCCAUCCAUCCAUCCAACCAUCCAUCCAUAUAUCCAUCAUCCGCCCAUCCAUCUCUCAUCCACACACUCAUCCAUCCCUCAUUGUGGAAUAGAUGCUCCCACCCAUCUAUCCAUCAUCUAACCACCAUCCAACCAUCCACCCAUCCACCCACACAUCUACCCAACUAUCCAUCCAUCCACUCACCUAUCAUCCACCCAUCCAUCCAUUAUUCUCCCACCCAUCCAUCCAUCAUCCGCCCACCAUCCAUCCACCAUCCAUCCAUCCACCCACAUAUCUACCCAACUAUCUAUCCAUCCACCCACCCAUCCAUCC